rnacentral:ncRNA from 1 species
AUCAUUUGAGAAGCAGGAAAGGGGAAAGGCACCCUGCGCUCCUUAGGGAACCUGAUAUGAUGGAUACGCCGCCCAUCCAAGUGUU